rnacentral:rRNA from 1 species
UACGAAGGGGGCUAGCGUUGCUCGGAAUGACUGGGCGUAAAGGGCGCGUAGGCGGUUUGUACAGUCAGGUGUGAAAUUCCCGGGCUCAACCUGGGGGCUGCACUUGAUACGUAGGAGCUUGAGUGGGGAAGAGGGUCGUGGAAUUCCCAGUGUAGAGGUGAAAUUCGUAGAUAUUGGGAAGAACACCGGUGGCGAAGGCGGCGACCUGGUCCUUGACUGACGCUGAGGCGCGAAAGCGUGGGGAGCAAACAGG